CUGCCCGAGGGACUGCAGGCGGCCUGCCGCCUUCUCGCGGAGGGCGUCGGCCUGCUGGUACGCCUGCAGGGCGGCUUCCUCGGCCGCCGGGUCGAC
rnacentral:tRNA from 1 species